GUGAGGAAUAUUGGACAAUGGAGGAAACUCUGAUCCAGCCAUGCCGCGUGAGUGAUGAAGGCCUUCGGGUUGUAAAGCUCUUUCGGGUGUGAAAAUGAUGAUGGUAACACCAGAAGAAGCCCCGGCUAACUCCGUGCCAGCAGCCGCGGUAAUACGGAGGGGGCGAGCGUUGUUCGGAAUCACUGGGCGUAAAGCGUGCGUAGGCGGUUAUACAAGUCAGGAGUGAAAUCCCAGGGCUCAACCUUGGAAUUGCUUUUGAGACUGUAUGACUAGAGAUCUAGAGAGGUUGGGGGAAUUCCGAGUGUAGAGGUGAAAUUCGCAGAUAUUCGGAGGAACACCAGUGGCGUAGGCGCCCAACUGGCUAGAUACUGACGCUGAGGCACGAAAGCGUGGGGAGCAAACAGGAUUAGAAACCCUUGUAGUCC
rnacentral:rRNA from 1 species